AUGAGGUAGAUGCCGUGAAGGAUAAAAUAAAGAAGUGCGUUCAUUCAUAAUCCCAUGCCCCUUUAUUUUUAUGUUUCAUAACCUGUCACUUUCCAUGCUCGUAAUCUCCUUUUUUUUUUUUGCCGGUUAGGAUUUUCAGUUGGUGCUGUGGGCUCCUGGGAAUGUUCCGUAUCCAAAAGGAAAACAGAUCACUACAGCGAAGCCAAAAAAGAAAACGCAGGACAACAGAGGGCAAUGAAAGGGAAGACAUUACAGUAGCCCAUUUGACCCACGUGACUCAGAGUGCAGGGAGGAGCUAUGACUCACUGGUCUGGACAGGAG